rnacentral:rRNA from 1 species
GACGAACGCUGGCGGCGUGCUUAACACAUGCAAGUCGAACGGAAAGGCCCUGCUUGCAGGGUACUCGAGUGGCGAACGGGUGAGUAACACGUGGGUGAUCUGCCCUGCACUUCGGGAUACGCUUGGGAAACUGGGUCUAAUACCGGAUAGGAGCCAUCGUUAGUGUGGUGGUUGGAAAGUUUUUUCGGUGUAGGAUGAGCUCGCGGCCUAUCAGCUUGUUGGUGGGGUAAUGGCCUACCAAGGCGGCGACGGGUAGCUGGCCUGAGAGGGUGUACGGCCACAUUGGGACUGAGAUGCGGCCCAGACUCCUACGGGAGGCAGCAAGGGGGAAUAUUGCACAAUGGGCGCAAGCCUGAUGCAGCGACGCCGCGUGGGGGAUGAAGGCCUUCGGGUUGUAAACUCCUUUCGCUAGGGACGAAGCUUUUUUGUGACGGUACCUAGAGAAGAAGCACCGGCUAACUACGUG